UACGUAGGGUGUAGGCGUUAAUCGGAAUUACUGGGCGUAAAGCGUGCGCAGGCGGUUUGUUAAGACAGAUGUGAAAUCCCCGGGCGUUAACCUGGGAACUGCGUUUGUAACUGGCAGACUGGAGUGCGGCAGAGGGGGAGUGGAAUUCCGCGUGUAGCAGUGAAAUGCGUAGAUAUGCGGAGGAACACCAAUGGCGAAGGCAAUCCCCUGGGCCUGCACUGACGCUCAUGCACGAAAGCGUGGGGAGCAAACAGGAUUAGAUA
rnacentral:rRNA from 1 species